AAAUAGAACUUUGCAGAGAGAGUUAAGAGGGCGUGAACCGUUAAUUGGCAAACGAAUCGGAGCCACGAAGUCGUUUCGUUGUUUAGUUGGGUUAGGUUCAGCGAGUGUCGCAAGGCACUUGUGUAUUCCUAAAUCUGGCCAAACCUUGUAAGCGUACACUGCAACCAGUUAGACGAUCAACGAUGGGCACAGUGAUUGAAGAAUGGAGCAAUCCGGGACUCUUUCACGAAGCAAUUUGUUUGCUCGGGUUAGUAGUAGUGCAGUUGGGCCUCACGGUCCUCCUUGUGUUGCUGGAUCCGUGGCAAGUGAACUAUCAUUGAAUACUGACUGGCGAAUUGAAAAUCGCGCUUGCCGCGUUAGAGACAAAGCUGUUGGCUUUAUAAGUGUCUACACAUUCGACUGUUGAGUCUAAGCUCGGCGCUUUUGAAUUCAGACUUGCUUGCUAUCAGUGGGGCAACUCCUGGUGCUUGUAUAGCUUCUGUCUAAUCGGGCGUCGACUUGGCUAAGCAUUGUUCGUGGUGUGAACCGAUUGGAUGCUUAUAAAAGCUGAUAAGCAAUGUGAAUUGGCAGUGAGUAGGUCGGCUUUCCGAACGACCCGUCUUGAAACACGGACCAAGGAGUCUAAUUAGGCAUCGAGUCGAUCGGUCUUGAUAGGCCAGACUGGGUCCCCUUGUGGGGCUUGAAUGAAGGCGUAAGAAAUCAAAUCGUGUGAUCGUGGUGGUAACAACAACCAUUACGCGCAACAUGUGCCUGUUCGUAUAGCAAUGUGCUUGCACUUGCUGAGCGGAGCAAAGAGAUGCUUGAUUGGGACCCGAAAGAUGGUGAACUAUGCUUGGGCAAAUUGAAGCCAGAGGAAACUCUGGUGGAGGAUUGUAGCGAUUCUGACGUGCAAAUCGAUCGUCAGACCUGAGUAUAGGGGCGAAAGACUAAUCGAACCAUC
rnacentral:rRNA from 1 species